GACCUUUGAAGUUGGGUGCUUGAUUCGCCAUGCACGAACUGCCUUCUCAAUCACCAGCUUAGGUGCGUCAGAUCUCUUGCUGGCAGAUGAUACUAUUUUGAUCACUUCCUUGUUUGGUAGCACAUCCCAGACCUGAAGAAGGAAAUCUGAGGGGUGGAGAUGAGCCCAAAAUCCUUGAGGCAGAAGUCACCAAAAGCUCUUGCCAUGGCGAGGCCCGGGCAGUCCUCAUCAGGCAGCCAAAGCCUGUGCACAUCAGGAACUAUAUGGUUCUUGUUGUCCCUGGUGCAGAUUACUGCUCUAGAAUCUCCCAAGUUAGCAAUCACCAAGUGCUCUCUCUGAAACCAAACUGUGGAUCCACUGCAGAUGCAAUCGAUCAUUGGGUGGGCGUGUAGCUCUUUGUCCACUUCUUCAAAGGCGUUCACAAAAAUGGCUUUCCAUUUGGGAAACCAUGUCUCGGUGUCGAGGUUGGAGUCAUCGUUCAUCAACCGCUUCAGUUGGGAUUGCAGCUUGGAGGGCAGUGUGUCGCGGACGUGACGGGAGACCUUGUGCCCGUACGGGCCGUGGCCAUCAAACGUGCCAGAGAAGAUAGUGUCUUUGUCGCCGGCAAAACCCUGUGGAGUUUGAAGAAAAAUGAGCUAAUGGACAGAUCACAGGUAUGAAUCAUGAUUCUUUCACUAAUUCAAUCGGUUCAAUUUGGUCUCGGUCACUUUGUCGGUUAACUGAUGAUUGAACUGGUCGAAUCCAAUGUUAGAAUCACUAUUUCUUUCAAUUUUAACAAUGCAAGCGAUU